rnacentral:rRNA from 1 species
UUGUGCCAGCAGGCGGUAAUACGGAGGGUGCAAGCGUUAAUCGGAAUUACUGGGCGUAAAGCGCACGCAGGCGGUCUGUUAAGUCAGAUGUGAAAUCCCCGGGCUUAACCUGGGAACUGCAUUUGAAACUGGCAGGCUUGAGUCUUGUAGAGGGGGGUAGAAUUCCAGGUGUAGCGGUGAAAUGCGUAGAGAUCUGGAGGAAUACCGGUGGCGAAGGCGGCCCCCUGGACAAAGACUGACGCUCAGGUGCGAAAGCGUGGGGAGCAAACAGGAUUAGAUACCCUGGGUAGUCCCAA